rfam:Myotis lucifugus cont2.27685, whole genome shotgun sequence.
GGCAGUUCUUGGGUGACUCGCCCUGGAAUCAGGCUCCCUCCUCUCUGGGUUCCGGGUGCAUUACCCGAGAACCGCA